GAAACAUAGUUGCAGCUCUCUCUCCUCCUAUCGCCACCGCCAAGAUCCUUCAUCAGUUCCACAAAAUCUUACGUAUCGACAAUCAUACACUCGAUCUAAGAUCUCUGUUACCUAUCAAUCAAGAUUGUUGUUUUUCAGCCCAAUUCCAAGCACAACCAGGUACCACUAAAGAGUUGGUCGCCACGAGAAAUAUGGAAUUUUUAAAAGCAACUAUUGCAGGUAGAUGUGUUUGGAUGGCUUCAUCAACAAAUAAGGAUGGAAACUGGGACGGAAUGCCCUAGCCAUCGCAUCCAGCAAUUACGGCUAGGGUUGCGACCAGUUGAUCCGGAGCCAGUUCAGUUGACAGGUACUUCAGAUGGUUCAAACAGUUGUUUGGUAUUUCAGAUUCCUGAUAUUUUUUAGUCCAGUACUAAAUGCUUCGAGGAAUUUCAAUGCUAAGUAGAUCGGCAAAAUGGGUGAAUUUUUGUGUCUGUCAAAACGGGCCGGGUUAGAUGCCUCAAACAGUUAGUUAGUAUUUCAGAUUCAUGAAUCAGAAGAGGAGUUUAACUGAAAUUAUUUUUUCCUUUAGCUGGAGUAUAGGUUUGCUAAGAUGCCUCUUACACCGUCCCCAUCUGGUAUAUUGUUAAUUUUGAUAACUUGGUUUUAUAAUUUAUAUUUUCAAUUUGUUUGACUUAAUUGAUUAUUUUUUAAGUAUAUACGGGUUUACAUCAGUGUCCUCAUGAUCGAUCAUUCACUAUGGAGAAAUUUUGAAGAGCUAUGAAAUUAAAGGCUCAAGACAUAAAGUGUGAGCCUGUGUACGCUCGAGGCAAGCUAAGCGUACAUCCAUUCCAGGCUUUUUUAGUUGUUUUAGACUAGAUUUUGGCUAGUUAAAUUGUUUAGAGUAGUAUACUCAGGUUAGGCUGGUUCAAACUUCUUAUGAUUGAGUUUAUUCCUUAAUCGGGCCAUUGAAAUUGAGUAAUAUAUAUGCUCAGUACCUAUUGAAGUUGGCCCCUGUGCGUACAAGUUCCAGUUUUUUUGCAAUUGCUUAAUAAGUGAAUUAGUCCAACAGGUUAAUGAUUAACACCAAUAUGCUCAUCUUGAACCUGCAAAUACAAAUGUUCUUUUGUUAGACGAAGUGACAGUUGACCUCGAUGUAGUUGCAAGGAUGGAUUUACUCGAGUUCUUCAAGGAGGAAUGUGAUUAUGUGAGCAGAUUAUUUCCAGCCAAAAAAGGUUUGGUAGUACUUUUAUUUAUUAAUAUUGUUGCUCGAGGGCUAAAGACGUCAUUAAAAUGGUCACAAGACUUGGAUACAUCAAGUUUCUAAUGAAGAAUUUAAUAAUCAGGUGAAGAUGUUAAUGUGUGUAUAACAUCCGCAUUUGGUGGUCAUGCUUGGAUUCUACAUAGAGCUAAACUGCAGUGUUUUUGAGUAUAUUCAUCAAAUCUCCUGUAAAUUCUAUGAACUGAGAAGGCGGAACCGAGUAGGAAUUGGGUGAUAAGAGUUCAAGAGGUUUGGAUGAUUUGAUUCCUGGAUUUUGAAGUAGUAUUUCUGUGUCCAGUAGCAGCAGGUUUAUAAUCACAUUGGGGUUCUUCAUGCACACCAUGUGUUUGGUAAUUUGCUUAACUGAAUAUCAAAUCACAUAUUAAAAGGAACUAGAUGUUCCUUCAACAACCGGGAAUGCUUCAGAAACGAAAACCGUGGAAGUGAGUAAUGUCUCAAUUACGGUCACUGAGAAGGAUAUCCGGGAAUUCUUUUCAUUUUCGGGAAAUAUAAAUUAUAUUGAAAUGAAAAGUGAAAGUGAAACCACCCAACGCGCGUUUGUCACCUUCAAGGAAUCAAAGGGAGCAUAUACAACACUUCUUUUGACAACAAAUACAGAUGGGAAAUAUGAAGUUGCGCAAGAGGCAGAAGAAGUGGUAAGCACGAUGCUUGCAAAGGGUUCCGUUCUGGGAAAAGACGCGCUGCAAAAGGCGAAGUCAUUUGACGAGAAACACCAGUUGACAUCGAACGUCUCUGCGACCGCUGUUUCCAUUGACCAAAAGAUGGGUUUGACUCAAAAGUUAAGUACGGGGACAGCUGUCGUUUAUGAAAAGAUGAAAGAAGUGGACGAACGUUACCAAGUAUCCGAAGCAACAAAAUCCGCUGUUGCUAAAGCUGAGCAGAAGGCGAGCAAUGCUGGUUGAUCAAAGUAUAAAAUUGACUCGACGUCCUUUUUUAGAACAGGUUCUGCCAAUAUACCAAUAUACCUGGACAAGAUUUUCAAUCAAAUUGUUGCAAUCGUGCUUUCUGUAAGUUUGAUAAUUUUUGGAGAGGUGAUUCCACAAGCAGUAUGUACCAGAUAUGGACUUGCAUCUAAUGGUGUGAUGCUGUGAAGUGGGACAUGAGGAUACCCUUUUGUGGUGACUUGGAGAUGAACAAUGAAGUUUCUGAGACUUCACUUUACCCAUUUGACCGGUUUCAUAUUUUGUUUAUUUAGAGAUUUAUGAAUUAUGAUCGUAAUUUUUUCUUUUUGUUAUUAAACGAGUUGGCGCAACCCCGCGCGUUGCGGCGGGCCCGGGGUAUUAAUUAUGAAUGUGUUUAG